UACGUAGGGUCCGAGCGUUGUCCGGAGUUACUGGGCGUAAAGCGCGCGCAGGCGGUCCGCUAGGUGUCACGUGAAAGCCCCGGGCUCAACUCGGGAGGGUCGUGGCAAACCGGCGGACUUGAGGCCGGUAGAGGUGGGUGGAACUCCUGGUGGAGUGGUGAAAUGCGUAGAGAUCAGGAGGAACACCGGUGGCGAAGGCGGGUCUCUGGGCCGAUACUGACGCUGAGGAGCGAAAGCGUGGGGAGCGAACAGG
rnacentral:rRNA from 1 species